rnacentral:rRNA from 1 species
UGGGGAAUAUUGCACAAUGGGCGAAAGCCUGAUGCAGCGACGCCGCGUGAGGGAUGACGGCCUUCGGGUUGUAAACCUCUUUCAGUAGGGACGAAGCGCAAGUGACGGUACCUGCAGAAGAAGCACCGGCUAACUACGUGCCAGCAGCCGCGGUAAUACGUAGGGUGCGAGCGUUGUCCGGAAUUACUGGGCGUAAAGAGCUCGUAGGCGGUUUGUCACGUCGUCUGUGAAAUCCUAGGGCUUAACCCUGGACGUGCAGGCGAUACGGGCUGACUUGAGUACUACAGGGGAGACUUGAAUUUCUGGUGUAGCGGUGGAAUGCACAGAUAUCAGGAAGAACACCGAUGGCGAAGGCAGGUCUCUGGGUAGUAACUGACGCUGAGGAGCGAAAGCAUGGGUAGCGAACAGG